UUAACUAGGAUUAGAUACCCUAUUAUUUUAAAUGUGAAAUUUAAAACUGAAAUUAUUGUUAGUUAAGGUCUUUAAAGUUAAAGAUUUUGGCGGUAUUUUAGUCUUUUCAGAGGAACCUGUCUUUUAAUCGAUAAUCCACGAUUAUUAAUACUUUAAUUUUUAGCUUGCAUAUCGUCGUUAAACAAAUAUUUUAAUAGGAUUAAAAUGUUUAAGGAUUUUUAUUAUAAAGUAAUUCAGAUCAAGGUGUAGUUUAUAUUAAAGAUAAGAUGGGUUACAUUAUGUUUAUUUGUGGAUCUUUUUUUUUGAAUGGAAGUGAAAUUGGAUUUGAAAGUAAUAUUUUAAUUUAUAUAAUAUGAUUAAGCUCUAAAAUAUGCACACAUCGCCCGUCGCUCU
rnacentral:rRNA from 1 species